GUUAUAUAUAACCUUUAAAUAAAUACAAAGACUAUUUAUGAAGAAUUAAUUGUGAUGCGAUCUGGGAAAACCCGUCGGAUGUCGCGCUGGCACGUUUCCAGGAAAUAGUAAAAAUAGGUCGAUUGUCAUUUAUUUGGCAAAAUUGGGUUUUCAUUAAAUUAUUAUUAUAUAACAUCUUGUCUAUAAUUCCUGAAAAUAUCUAAGUGAAAUUCGCUAGUUUUAUACAUCAAAAAUGAAUUUAUAUUGGUCAAGCUGUCUGAAAGAUCAUCCUACAUUUGAAACCGCAAACGGCGGAGGUGCAUAAAAAUCUCCCAUAACGUGCUUUGCCUAGGCUAUAAACACUACAAAGACGGUUCACCAAUCAAAGCCCUAAACCACAUGAAUGAAGUCAUAUCAUAUCAAUGCACAUUUUCCCGCCAGAUAUACGUUGUAACAAUGUGAUAUGUUUGAUGAACCUAACGUUAACGUUACGUGAGGAUGUGAGAGUCUACGGAGAUGGCGGAGCGCAAGAGAAGAGAGUCUGAGUUAGCUGCUCACUUAAAUGAAGCUGCACGUCUCAAUUUGGUAAAUCCUGGCGAUGCCAAUGCCCUGAACGACGUGAUCAUGGAUUAUUUCACAUCCAGAGAUCCAAGAGAUGAUGAAGGAUCGGAUUAUAAUGAAUUUACCGAAGAAGAGGAGUCCGAUGAAGAUGAUGACCAUCCCAUAUCCAUUAUUGAAGAUGUAGCAGAGAUACUACCACCAGUUCCACUUCAAGAGGAUAAUGGUGAUGGUGUGCAAGAGUUUGUAUGUGCAUGCAAAUACAACAAUGGUCAUCCAUGUUCAACACGUUUCAUGCAAGAGGAGCUGCAGAUGAUUCGCUACUGUUUCCUGGAAAUGACAAGGGAAGAGCUAGAUAUCGCCAUUCUAGCUAAACUCUCGUGUGGAAUGCAUCUUUUUCAGCUAACAUCCCGCACCCAUAAAAAAGAACAGACAGUUCGGAAGUCCCAAAGAACUGAUUUCUUUCACCAUGGGGAGAAAAUAUGCAGGGAUACGUUUAAAUAUCUCCAUGCCAUUGGCCAGGUCAAGCUAGAUGCUCUUAUUAAGCAUUAUGAAGAGCAUGGUGUUACUCCUCGAAUGCAUGGCAACAAAAAGCGUCAGCCUCCUAAUGCACUGAAGAAAGAGGACAAUAUGUAUGUUGCACAUUUCAUUGUAAACUAU
rnacentral:lncRNA from 15 species